AUUGAACGCUGGCGGCAGGCCUAACACAUGCAAGUCGAACGAGUGGCGGACGGGUGAGUAAUGUCUGGGAAACUGCCUGCUGGAGGGGGAUAACUACUGGAAACGGUAGCUAAUAACGCAUACCAUCGGAUGUGCCCAGAUGGGAUUAGCUAGUAGGUGGGGUAACGGCGCACCUAGGCGACGAUCCCAAGCUGGUCUGAGAGGAUGACCAGACACACUGGGACUGGGAAACGGUCCAGACUCCUACGGUAGGCAGCAUGGGGGAAUAUUGCACAAUGGGCGCAAGCCUGAUGCAGCCAUGCCGCGGGUAUGAAGAAGGCUUUCGGGUUGUAAAGUACUUUCAGUGGGUAGGCGUUACCCGCAGAAGAAGCACCGGCUAAAUCCGUGCCAGCAGCGGCGGUAAUUC
rnacentral:rRNA from 1 species